CCCAACCCCAACCCACCUUCUUCCCCGUAGGACUCCCACCCGCGGCGACCUCCCACCCCACCCCCGGUUCCCCCUGCCUCCCUUCCCCAGCCACCUACCCCCGCAGGCGCUGCAACUGCCCGAGGCACCACGCCGCCCCCGGAUCCGUGCAACCACCGCCGCCAAGGGCCUCUCUUUGUCCCCGGAAGCCAUGGCCUCCCCAUCUUCCCCGCACGCCACAGUACUCCCCCCAGCAACACCAGCUUCUUCCCCGCGCCGCCACACUCCCCCAGGACCUCCAACCACCGGAUCCGGCCGCGUGCGCCGCACCCUCGACGAACCCACCGCCGGCUUGCCCCGCCAUGAUACCAGCGCCUCCCUGGUGUUGGAUCAGGCCCCAUCGUGCCACCAGCGAUGGAAUCGAGCAGCAGAAGGCCAAAUCCGGGCACACUGCGGACCCCCGCGAGCUCGGCUACCUCGUCGCGCCCAUACCUCCGCCUCCUUCCUCCUUCCCCGAGCCGGAUCCGCCAAAGUCCAGGGGUCCCGCCGACCCUGAACUUCCCUGCAGUCCAGGGGUCCCUCCCCCUGGCCGAUCCACCCAUUCCGGAGGUGUGGACGUUGUUCCCCCGACGCCGACGAGGAUCCCGGCUGAGAUCCACGGCCGCCGCACCGCCGUUGGCCUGUCUGACCUCCCUUUGUCACUCCCUGGCCUUCUCCGUCUACACGCCGCCGUUCCCUGAGCAGCAGACGCCGCUGACCCCUCCCGUAGCCAUGGAUCCCGGUGACCCUUCCUUUCUCCGUGACUCACCGGCACCGCGCCCCUGCCUUCCUGGACUCGUUUGCGCACGGGCCACCCUACCCCAACGCCGCAGCAACCACUCCUCUGAUGGCAACCACCACCCCCGACAAUGGAUCCUCCUCCCUAGUGGUCACCAGCAGAGUGCCACAGCUUCCCGACCCCAUCUCAUUUUUGUGUGCGGUUCGGCGGUGCGUAGAUGUACAGUGCGGUGGCGCUGACAAAAAAUGACGAGGAGGACGAUGGUGUGUGCCUUGUGGUUCGCAGGAUCUGGUGACCACCAUCAUGCCAAGAUCCCUCUGCCGCCCCUCCUACUCCUCUGCCCUUCCCUUUCCUCCCUCCCAGGCCGUGCGCCCCUUGCCGUCGUCGAGGUCAAUGAUCGAUGAUGUGGCCACCACACUGCAGCUCGGUUCGGUAUGUGCCACUGUCCUCCGGCGAGUGCGCAUGCAGUGCACUUUAGAGUUAGGCUAACGCCGGCAUGAGGUUCACUUCUACAUGGUAGCUUGGAUGCCUUGGCGUUGCACGUCGGCAUUUGAUGUGGUGUCGUGCGGGUGUGUGCGGCCUGCAGCUCGGAGCAUUUGAUGUGGUGUCGUGCGGGUGUGUGCGGCCUGCAGCUCGGAGCAAGCAGGCAUGCAGUUUAGACCGUUGUUUGUGGAUUUUUUUGUCUAUCAAAUGUACCCGGUUGGGAUAUGAUGCAUAUUGUGUAAAAACUAUUUGUUGAGAAGUUUAUUUCAACAAGCACUAAAAUAGUUCAUUUUCGAGAAAAAAAAAGUGUUGAUGCAGCCCAGUUCGAGGAGUCUUGUGGUUCAUUGCAUUCAACGAGGAGACUUGUUGUCUCGUGUAGUUUGCUAUAAUAGAUGUGGCUUUGAAGCUCA